rnacentral:lncRNA from 1 species
GAUCUAAUUUAAUUAGAAUUUAUUAUAAAUUUUAGGAGUUAAUUUGAUAUGCUAGCAUAUUGUAUUAACCCAAGUUCCCAAUUAGAUUAAGUUCAAAGUGUUUGAGCUAAACCAAACUUGUUGCCUUUGACCUAAUUGGAUUAAGUCUAAAUUAAUUGGUUUCCUACCUAAUAUAGAAGUGUUUUAAGAGAGGAAGGACUCCUCCACACCAUC